rnacentral:rRNA from 1 species
CCUACGGGUGGCAGCAGUAGGGAAUAUUGCUCAAUGGGGGAAACCCUGAAGCAGCAACGCCGCGUGAAGGAUGAAGGUUUUAGGAUUGUAAACUCCUUUUGUUAGAGAAGAUUAUGACGGUAUCUAACGAAUAAGCACCGGCUAACUCCGUGCCAGCAGCCGCGGUAAUACGGAGGGUGCAAGCGUUACUCGGAAGCACUGGGCGUAAAGAGUGCGUAGGGGGGGUAAUAAGUCAGAGGUGAAAUCCUGUAGCUUAACUACAGAACUGCCGUUGAAACUGUUACUCUGGAGUGUGGGAGAGGUAGGUGGAAUGCGUGGUGUAGGGGUAAAAUCCGUAGAGAUCAAGAAGAAUACUGAUUGCGAAGGCGGCCUGCUGGAACAUUACUGACGCUGAUGCACGAAAGCGUGGGGAGCAAACAGGAUUAGAUACCCUUGUAGUC